rnacentral:rRNA from 1 species
UACGUAGGGUGCAAGCGUUGUCCGGAAUUAUUGGGCGUAAAGAGCUCGUAGGCGGUCUGUCGCGUCGGAUGUGAAAACUCGGGGCUCAACCCCGGGCCUGCAUUCGAUACGGGCAGACUAGAGUACGGCAGGGGAGACUGGAAUUCCUGGUGUAGCGGUGAAAUGCGCAGAUAUCAGGAGGAACACCAAUAGCGAAGGCAGCUCGCUGGGACGUUACUGACACUGAGGCGCGAAAGCGUGGGGAGCGAACAGG